rnacentral:rRNA from 1 species
UGCCAGACUCCUACGGGAGGCAGCAGUAGGUCCUCUUGCUCAAUGUUGUCCACCCUGACUCCUCCACGCCGCGUUGCGUAUGAAGGUUUUCGGAUUGUAACCUCCUUUUGUUAGCGCCGAUAAUGACGGUCUCUAACGAAUAAGCACCGGCUAACUCCGUGCCAGCAGCCGCGGUAAUACGGAGGGUGCGAGCGUUAAUCGGAAUUACUGGGCGUAAAGCGCUCGUAGGCGGUAUGUCAAGUCAAGGGUGAAAUCCCCGCGCUCAACGUGGGAACUGCCUUUGAAACUGGCAAACUGGAGUGUGUGAGAGGAUAGUGGAAUUCCAGGUGUAGGAGUGAAAUCCGUAGAUAUCUGGAGGAACAUCAGUGGCGAAGGCGACUAUCUGGCACAUAACUGACGCUGAGGAGCGAAAGCGUGGGUAGCAAACAGGAUUAGAUACCCCCGUAC